UGGGGAAUUUUGGACAAUGGACGAAAGUCUGAUCCAGCCAUUCCGCGUGCAGGACGAAGGCCUUCGGGUUGUAAACUGCUUUUGUACGGAACGAAAAAGCCUUGGCUAAUACCCAGGGUCCAUGACGGUACCGUAAGAAUAAGCACCGGCUAACUACGUGCCAGCAGCCGCGGUAAUACGUAGGGUGCGAGCGUUAAUCGGAAUUACUGGGCGUAAAGCGUGCGCAGGCGGUUUUGUAAGACAGAGGUGAAAUCCCCGGGCUCAACCUGGGAACUGCCUUUGUGACUGCAAGGCUAGAGUGCGGCAGAGGGGGAUGGAAUUCCGCGUGUAGCAGUGAAAUGCGUAGAUAUGCGGAGGAACACCGAUGGCGAAGGCAAUCCCCUGGGCCUGCACUGACGCUCAUGCACGAAAGCGUGGGGAGCAAACAGG
rnacentral:rRNA from 2 species